rnacentral:rRNA from 1 species
GAGAGAGACAUGCGCGCAUAUCAAUAAGCGGAGGAAAAGAAACUAACAAGGAUUCCCUUAGUAACGGCGAGUGAAGCGGGAAGAGCUCAAAUUUGAAAUCUUCAAGGUUUUACCUUGACGAAUUGUAGUUUAAAGAAGUGUUUUCUGCUGAAGUUUUGGUAAAAGUUCUUUGGAAUAGGACAUCAUAGAGGGUGAGAAUCCCGUAUUUGACCAUUAUUUUCAGCUUUGUGAUACACUUUCAAAGAGUCGGAUUGUUUGGGAAUGCAGUCCAAAAUGGGUGGUAAAUUUCAUCUAAAGCUAAAUAUUGGCGAGAGACCGAUAGCGAACAAGUACCGUGAGGGAAAGAUGAAAGGAACUUUGAAAAGAGAGUUAAACAGUACGUGAAAUUGUCAAAAGGGAAGCGCUUUGACACCAGUGUUGUUUUCUCGAAAAUCAAUUAAAAAGGCCGGAUUUUGUUGCUUGUAUGACCUUAUCAGCUUCCUGCACUAUUUUUCUUGUCUUUUUUAAUGCACUUUUCGUUUAACAAGUCAACAUCAAUUUCUUUUGUUGUAAAAGGGUCAUUGGAAGGUGGCUUUCUUUUCGGAGAAAGUGUUUAUAGCCUUUGGCCUCUGCAAUCGGAGAGACUGAGGUCUGCAGCGUAGACUCUUCGGGGUUAGAUACAUUUGUGCUAAGUUAUAACUUUUUAUAGACAACUUGUUGACUAUAAUUAGUCUUGUAGCUUACUCGCUUAUGCUAUUUUACCUACGCUUAGGAUGUUGAAGAUGUAGCACAUCAU